AAGAAAAGAAAAAAAAGAAGCAUACUCAGGUCAUUGUAAUCUAGAAGCGAGUAUGCUAAGGCCUUUGACAUUAGCCCAUGGUAUGAUUAUUACUUUUAUGCUGCAAGUUUAGCUCAGGAACAAUACUACACAAUGGUGUAUUCCCUUUUUGCUAGUUAAAGCACAAAGCACAAUUGAAUCGAUAUCGAUUCAAUUGGAUCAAUAUCAAACCAAAAUCGAAUCGGAUCAAGACCUAAAGAAUCUAAUUGAAUUGAAUUGUGAGGCACCUGGCAAUACCCAG